AUGCAGCGGCACCUAAUGGUGACAGUUGUUAAAGCGGGGGAUCGCAAGACCUCGCGUCUGAAGAGGAGCCUGCGGCAGAUUAGCUAGUUGGUAAGGUAACGGCUUACCAAGGCGAUGAUCUGUAGCCGGCCUGAGAGGGCGGUCGGCCACACUGACACUGACAUACGGGUCAGACUCCUACGGGAGGCAGCAGUCGGGAAUUUUGGGCAAUGGGCGAAAGCCUGACCCAGCAACGCCGCGUGAAGGAUGAAAUCCCUCGGGAUGUAAACUUCGCAAGAACGGGAAGAAUAAGGAAGAGUUAACACCUCUUUCGAUGACGGUACUGUUUGUAGGCUCCGGCUAACUCCGUGCCAGCAGCCGCGGUAAUACGGGGGGAGCAAGCGUUGUUCGGAUUUACUGGGCGUAAAGGGCGCGUAGGCGGCCACCGCAAGUCAGUUGUGAAAUCUCUGGGCUUAACCCAGAAAGGUCAACUGAUACUGCGGGGCUAGAGUGCAGAAGGGGCAACUGGAAUUCUCGGUGUAGCGGUGAAAUGCGUAGAUAUCGAGAGGAACACCUGCGGCGAAGGCGGGUUGCUGGGCUGACACUGACGCUGAGGCGCG
rnacentral:rRNA from 1 species